GAGGAGGAGGAGGAGGAGAAGAAGAUGCAAAUAAACACGAAGUUAUUUUGCAUCUUAAUUUAUAUUCAAGAAAGCCAAACUCAAGAAAUGAUUUGAGCGCUUCCUCCGCCCCCCUGUCAGGUAGAGGGGACCCCGUGUCCCUGGAGCUGCCCCUGACUGGCCAGCUGACGCCCCUUGACGUCUACAGGGCCGUGGUGAGCCAGGCCAGAACUCAAGAACUCAAGGAAGAAGAAGAAGAAAAGAUGAAAACAAGAAUGGAAGGAGGAGGAGGAGGAGGAAGAAGGGAGGAGGAGGAAGAGAUUAGACCAGUCUCUCUUUACUUACAAAAAACACAAGAUUAUAACGCUUCCUCCUCCUCCUCCUCCUCCUCCAGAGACGAGGUGGAGGUGGAGCUGUUUGAUAUAGAAGAGGGCCCCCUACUUCUCCAAGCCAUAGAAAACGGACUUCACGAUUUGAACCAGCACCUCCCGCCUGAUCUCCGUUUUCUGUUUGAUGGGGAACUCUCGUAUUCUAGUUAAAUUAGAGAGAGAGAGAGAGAGAGAGAGAGAGAGAGAGAGAGAGAGAGAGAGAGAGAGAGAGAGAGAGAGAGAGAGAGAGAGAGAGAGAGAGAGAGAGAGAGAGAGAGAUUAUUAUAAGUUUAGAUUUUAUAUAAUUAUUUUUUGUAGUUAUUUAAUAUUGUUGUUGUUGUUGUUGUGUGAUUAAAUGUUACUAGUAUUUAAUUAUUGUUGUUUUUGUCUGUAAUAGUAGAAGUAGUAGUGUAAUUAUUAUUAUUAUUAUUAUUAUUAUUGUUAUUAUUAUUAUUUCUGUAAGUUAAUGAACAGUAUUUAUUUAAUUACGUUUGAUUACUUAUUUAUUUAUUUAUUUAUUUAUUUAUGUAUGUAUCAAAUUCCUCGCUACAAAUUUAAACGAUACAAACAAUUACUUUAUUUUCAUCCACCUGCCCACCCACAAACAUCCACCCAUCCACCCACCCCUAUUACCCCACCAAUCCACUCCCCCCAUCCACCCAUUACACCAGAUCCACUCACCCACCCACCACACAGUCCCUACAAACCGAACCACGCGAUCUUCAACCACUGAGUUAUUUAAAAAUAUUCUUAUUAAUACUGAGUCUUGAAAUGUUCUUAAUGUACCCGCUAUUAAUUCAAAUAUAUGCCCUUUCAAAAUUUAUAAAGGGUUCCAUUCCAGCGUGUGUGUGUGUGUGUGUGUGUGUGUGUGUGUGUGU